UCCGGUUUGUCACCGGCAGUCUCCCUAGAGUGCCCUUGCGUAGCAACUAGGGACAAGGGUUGCGCUCGUUGCGGGACUUAACCCAACAUCUCACGACACGAGCUGACGACAGCCAUGCAGCACCUGUGUUCCGAUUCCCUUUCGGGCACCCCCACCUCUCAGCAGGGUUCCGGACAUGUCAAGGGUAGGUAAGGUUGUUCGCGUUGCAUCGAAUUAAUCCACAUCAUCCACCGCUUGUGCGGGUCCCCGUCAAUUCCUUUGAGUUUUAACCUUGCGGCCGUACUCCCCAGGCGGUCAACUUCACGCGUUAGCUACGGUACCAAGGAAUCGCUUCCCCAACACCCAGUUGACAUCGUUUAGGGCGUGGACUAC
rnacentral:misc_RNA from 1 species